rnacentral:rRNA from 1 species
CAAUAGCGUAUAUUAAAGUUGUUGCGGUUAAAAAGCUCGUAGUUGGAGUUCUGCCAGGUGCCGCCUGUCCGCCCCAGUGGUGAGUACGUGGCGCGCAUUUGGCCCUUUCAAGGGGAGCGUAUCUGCACUUUAUUGUGUGGUGCGGGAUCCUUGACUUUUACUUUGAGGAAAUAGGAGUGUUCCAAGCAGGCUCUCGUCGUGCACAGCUCAGCAUGGAAUAAUAGCAUUGGACCUCGAUUCUAAGCUGUUGGUUGCCAGAAGCGAGGUAAUGAUGAAGAGGGAUAGUUGGGGGCAUUCGUAUUUAACUGUCAGAGGUGAAAUUCUUGGAUUUGUUAAAGACGGACUACUGCGAAAACAUCUGCCAUGGAUGUUUUCAUUGA